AGCUCGAGUUUCUCUUCAUUAUCGCAUAAAUCUUUCUCCUUUUACUAAAGAUUUCCGUGGAUGGGACAUUUUUGUGAGUUACCUGUAUUUUUGGAGGCUCUGAUCACAGCAGAGCU
rnacentral:snRNA from 1 species